rnacentral:rRNA from 1 species
AGCGAACGCUGGCGGCAUGCCUAACACAUGCAAGUCGCACGGGGGGGCUUCGGCCUCCCAGUGGCGGAUGGGUGAGGAACGCGUAGGGACCUGUCGAGGGGUGGGGGAUAACCGCGGGAAACUGCGGCUAAUACCGCAUGACGCCGCGGCGUGACAGCCGGGGCCAAAGGCGAAAGCCGCCCGCCGAGGGGCCUGCGUCCGAUUAGCUGGUUGGCGGGGUAGCGGCCCACCAAGGCGUCGAUCGGUAGCUGGUCUGAGAGGGUGAUCAGCCACACCGGGACUGAGACACGGCCCGGACUCCUACGGGAGGCAGCAGUGGGGAAUAUUGGACAAUGGGCGCAAGCCUGGUCCAGCAAUGCCGCGUGGGUGAAGAAGGUCUUCGGAUUGUAAAGCCCUUUCGGCGGGGACGAUGGUGACGGUACCCGCAGAAGAAGCCCCGGCUAACUUCGUG